rnacentral:rRNA from 1 species
AUUGAACGCUGGCGGCAGGCCUAACACAUGCAAGUCGAGCGGUAGAGAGAAGCUUGCUUCUCUUGAGAGCGACGGACGGGUGAGUAAUGCCUAGGAAUCUGCCUGGUAGUGGGGGGAUAACGUUCGGAAACGAACGCUAAUACCGCAUACGUCCUACGGGAGAAAGCAGGGGACCUUCGGGCCUUGCGCUAUCAGAUGAGCCUAGGUCGGAUUAGCUAGUUGGUGAGGUAAUGGCUCACCAAGGCGACAAUCCGUAACUGGUCUGAGAGGAUGAUCAGUCACACUGGAACUGAGACACGGUCUAGACUCCUACGGGAGGCAGCAGUGGGGAAUAUUGGACAAUGGGCGAAAGCCUGAUCCAGCCAUGCCGCGUGUGUGAAGAAGGUCUUCGGAUUGUAAAGCACUUUAAGUUAGGGGAGGUAAAGGGGACGAGGUUAA